rnacentral:rRNA from 1 species
UGGGGAAUUUUGGACAAUGGGCGAAAGCCUGAUCCAGCAAUGCCGCGUGUGUGAAGAAGGCCUUCGGGUUGUAAAGCACUUUUGUCCGGAAAGAAAUCCUUGGCUCUAAUACAGUCGGGGGAUGACGGUACCGGAAGAAUAAGCACCGGCUAACUACGUGCCAGCAGCCGCGGUAAUACGUAGGGUGCAAGCGUUAAUCGGAAUUACUGGGCGUAAAGCGUGCGCAGGCGGUUUGCCAAGACCGAUGUGAAAUCCCCGGGCUCAACCUGGGAACUGCAUUGGUGACUGGCAGGCUAGAGUAUGGCAGAGGGGGGUAGAAUUCCACGUGUAGCAGUGAAAUGCGUAGAGAUGCGGAGGAAUACCGAUGGCGAAGGCAGCCCCCUGGGCCAAUACUGACGCUCAUGCACGAAAGCGUGGGGAGCAAAACAGGAUUAGAUACCCUGGUAGUCCACGCCCUAAAACGAUGUCAACUAGUUGUUGGGGAUUCAUUUCCUUAGUAACGUAGCUAACGCGUGAAGUUGACCGCCUGGGGAGUACGGUCGCAAGAUUAAAACUUAAAUGAAUUGACGGGGUCAUAGCUGUUUCCU